CGGACGGGUGAGUAACACGUGGAUAACCUACCUAUAAGACUGGGAUAACUUCGGGAAACCGGAGCUAAUACCGGAUAAUAUAUUGAACCGCAUGGUUCAAUAGUGAACGACGGUUUUGCUGUCACUUAUAGAUGGAUCCGCGCCGCAUUAGCUAGUUGGUAAGGUAACGGCUUACCAAGGCAACGAUGCGUAGCCGACCUGAGAGGGUGAUCGGCCACACUGGAACUGAGACACGGUCCAG
rnacentral:rRNA from 1 species